AGAUUGAACGCUGGCGGCAUGCCUUACACAUGCAAGUCGAACGGUAACGCGGGGCAACCUGGCGACGAGUGGCGAACGGGUGAGUAAUAUAUCGGAACGUGCCCAGUAGUGGGGGAUAGCCCGGCGAAAGCCGGAUUAAUACCGCAUACGACCUACGGGUGAAAGCGGGGGAUCGCAAGACCUCGCGCUAUUGGAGCGGCCGAUAUCAGAUUAGGUAGUUGGUGGGGUAAAAGCCUACCAAGCCGACGAUCUGUAGCUGGUCUGAGAGGACGACCAGCCACACUGGGACUGAGACACGGCCCAGACUCCUACGGGAGGCAGCAGUGGGGAAUUUUGGACAAUGGGCGCAAGCCUGAUCCAGCCAUCGCGCGUGCGGGAAGAGGCCUUCGGUGUAACCG
rnacentral:rRNA from 1 species